AGGAUGGACACAGGGAUGGACAGAGGGAUGGACACAGGAUGGACAGAGGGAUGGACACAGGGAUGGACACAGGAUGGACGCUGCAUCCACAGCCCUGCUGUCCCAUCCCGCUGUCCCAGCCCUGCCCUGUCCCCAGCCCCGGGUGCCCACAC
rnacentral:lncRNA from 1 species